CGAACCGGGAAGAGCCCAGCUU
rnacentral:snRNA from 1 species